GGGCACUUAGCACAGUUGGUAGCGCGCACGCUUCGCAUAUCGCACUGUACAGUGCAGAUUGCGUGAGGUCGUGGGUUCAAAUCCCACAGUGUCCA